AAACUAACAAGGAUUCCCUUAGUAACGGCGAGUGAACCGGGAAAAGCUCAAAUUUGUAAUCUGGCUGUCUUCGAUAGUCCGAGUUGUAAUCUAUAGACGUGUUUUCCGUGCUGGACCGUAUCUAAGUCCCUUGGAACAGGGUAUCAAAGAGGGUGACAAUCCCGUGCUUGAUACGACCACCAGUGCUCUGUGAUACACGCUCUAC
rnacentral:rRNA from 1 species